GCUCUCGUGGAUCAGCCGUAGAUCUCCUCGCUCCAAUUUCGAGUCAGCGAUAUUUUCCGCGGUGGCGUGGGUUUGAAUCCCACCGAGAGCA